UACGUAGGUGGCAAGCGUUGUCCGGAUUUACUGGGCGUAAAGAGCGCGCAGGCGGUUGAUUAAGUCGAAUGUGAAAGCCCCCGGCUCAACUGGGGAGGGUCAUUCGAUACUGAUCGACUUGAAGGCAGGAGAGAGAAGUGGAAUUCCCGGUGUAGUGGUGAAAUGCGUAGAUAUCGGGAGGAACACCAGUGGCGAAGGCGGCUCACUGGACUGGUAUUGACGCUGAGGUGCGAAAGCGUGGGGAGCAAACAGG
rnacentral:rRNA from 1 species